rnacentral:lncRNA from 1 species
UUCGAGCCCACCCAGGGACGGCAGCGCUUGUUUUCCUGAGACUGUCUCUAUAGAGAUUCAUUUUAAAACGGCAACCAUGAGAUUUUUAAUCAAAUAGGUGUAAGACGCUACCAUGUUUCUAGGGCGGAGGAGGACAGUGCUCUCUUAACAUAGUUGGCACCUAACGUGGGUGGAUCUAAGAGUGACACUGCUUCUGGAUUGGCAGCCCAUGCGUUAAAAUCUGAUACCACCAAGAAGCAAAUGAAGUCAUUCAAUAUUGCCUUAUCUACUGCCAAAAAGAUUUGAGGAGCCCUACAGAUGAAAACAUCAGAGGAGACAUCUAAAAAAAAUCUGAUACCACCAAGAAGCAAAUGAAGUCAUUCAAUAUUGCCUUAUCUACUGCCAAAAGGAUUUGAGGAGCCCUACAGAUGAAAACAUCAGAGGAGACAUCUAAAAAAGCAUCCUGGUGCCUUUUGGCCCUGCUUGCCUCUUCUGUGUCUUCCUGAGGGAACACUGGUGGGGGAGAAGCAAGAGGGCCUGUCACAGACAAGCUCGCCGAGCAGGCCUGUUUCAGAGCCCACCGACUGUGGGUGGCUCUCCACCUGUAGCAGGAGAGCCCACAGGAGGAGUUGCCCCGGAAACUGCUCAGAAUGAAGUAAUUCGUUUACCGUCAUUUCUUUGGGAUGUUUUCUCUAAUGCACCAGAUUGACCUACCAUUCCUCCUCUUUCUCCCCUGCUGUAACAUAUACAUAUAGAUCAAUAUGUCUUGGCCCCCAGACUCUAAGUUUGGAGAAACCAGUCCAUUUUGUGUUGUUUGCAUUUGUGUUACCCAGCAAAACUAAAAUUAACUAAACUUAUUGUGGUAAUCAUUUCACAAUAUAUGUAAGCCAAACCAUUGUGCACCUUCCACUUAUACAGUGAUGUAUGUCAAUGAUAUCUCACUAAAACUAGAAGAAACAAAACCAAAAAACUCUAAUAAAUUGUAUGUUCCACUUUGCAUACACUUUUUCUGCAGAGUGCAUUAUUGCAGUAAUGUUAA